UACUAGAAACCUUAGAAGUAUAACGGUGGCUGGUGUUUGUGGCUGGUGUAGUGUUUUGGUUUGAGAGGCAGACUUAGAGCCUAGAGUUGGAGUGUAGGCUCAGGAAUCACACACACACACACACACACACACACACACACACACACACACACACACCCCUCCACCCCCGCUCAAUCGAGCUUCCAGAAUCCAGCAAAGGCAAAAUGACAGCAGGCUUCCUCCUGUCUCGUUCCCAACAUCCAGGCCCACGACGAAGCAUGAAUGGCAGCACGUGGGAACAGGACGGGGUGGUAGACGGAAGAACUCACCUGGCUGGUUGGUGAUGCUGUUUGAUUCACGGAAACCCCGAACAGGAAUGUCUGGCCUCUUGCCUGACGGGGGCCUGGGAGGACGGGGACCAGGUCCCAGCCAACCUUGCCCUCCACGGAGCUCUGGGCACCGAGACUGGAGGGCGCCAGGAGAGCCGGAGAACCAAGGGUUGCAUCUGUGCUCUGGUUUGGGUUCAGUUUUAUUUUAAGGCCAGGAAAAUGCAAAGCAUCCUGGCCUGUAUUCCUCACGAUUCUUGCCAGGGGAAAGAAAUCUGUCUCCUGUUUCAAGAACUGCGCGCGAUGGCUUGUGGUUGGGGCAGUAAAGACAACCCCACAGAACUUUACAGGGUGCAACGGGCUUUCCUUCGUCAGAUCCCAAGUGGGACGCCAGUAAGCCCUGACCGCCAAUCCUAUUCAUCAGCCUAGUCACGGAGCUGAUGGCUCCCGACUAGAUCCCCAGACUUCCUGUCCCCUGUCAACACGGGGCCAGGCUCCCCCAGCAGGAAGAGUCUUGGAACCACAAGCCACCACCUCGAGCCUCAUCACGGGCAUACCUUCCCCUUCAGAUGCUGCAGAGAAGCUGUGCGAUCAGACACACACACUUACACACACCUCUUCCUGCGCGCCUCCUCCCAAGGCUGUGUCACAAAUCUAUUGUGCCACCUGGAAUUCCCUCCCCACCUCCCCAACCCCAAAUGAUUUUUUUUUUUUUUUUGGCUUUUUAGGGCCAAACCCACGGCAUAUGGAAUUCCCAGGCUAGGGGUCGAAUUGGAGCUGUAGCUGCCGGCCAGGGCCACACCCGAUCCGAGCCACAUCUGCGACCUACAUCACAGCUCAUGACAACACUGGAUCCGUAAGCCACUGAACGAGGCCAGGGAUCGAACCUGCAUCCUCAUGGAUACCAGUUGGAUUCAUUACCACUGAGCCGCAGCAGGAACUGAUUUUUUUUAUUAGUGGAUUCUACAUGCCUACGUUGGGUGAUUUGAGAAGAAGGAGAACGCAGAUAUUUGCCCACUAAGAUGAUCAUUAUUAUCAUCAUGGCAUAUUUUUAAGCAUAUUUUUACCGUAGUUGUCACCAUCAUACCCACAGGAUCUUGUCUCUUGCAUACAUUUCGCCUGCCGUCAUCCCAGGCAUCUCCCAUGUCCCUAAAAAUGGUUUGUCAGGCCUUACUUUCAGAAGUUUGCAACACUCUGCAGUGAGGAUGUACCACCAUUUUUCUAACCAAUUAUUGUUGGACAAUUAGCUGUUUCUAAUGUUUCAGUGUUAAAUAAAAAAAUGUUGCAGUGACCA
rnacentral:lncRNA from 1 species